CCUACGGGAGGCUGCAGUGGGGAAUAUUGCACAAUGGGCGAAAGCCUGAUGCAGCAACGCCGCGUGAGCGAAGAAGGCCUUUGGGUCGUAAAGCUCUGUCCGAGGGGAAGAUAAUGACGGUACCCUUGGAGGAAGCCCCGGCUAACUACGUGCCAGCAGCCGCGGUAAUACGGAGGGGGCGAGCGUUAUCCGGAAUUAUUGGGCGUAAAGAGUGCGUAGGUGGUUCUUUAAGCGUGAGGUGAAAGGCAAUGGCUUAACUAUUGUAAGCCUUGCGAACUGGAGAACUUUAGUGCAGGAGAGGUAAGUGGAAUUCCUAGUGUAGCGGUGAAAUGCGUAGAUAUUAGGAGGAACACCAGUGGCGAAGGCGACUUACUGGACUGUAACUGACACUGAGGCACGAAAGCGUGGGGAGCAAACAGGAUUAGAUACCCCAGUAGUC
rnacentral:rRNA from 1 species